AGCGAACGCUGGCGGCAGGCCUAACACAUGCAAGUCGAACGAACUCUUCGGAGUUAGUGGCGGACGGGUGAGUAACACGUGGGAACGUGCCUUUAGGUUCGGAAUAACUCAGGGAAACUUGUGCUAAUACCGAAUGUGCCCUUCGGGGGAAAGAUUUAUCGCCUUUAGAGCGGCCCGCGUCUGAUUAGCUAGUUGGUGAGGUAAAGGCUCACCAAGGCGACGAUCAGUAGCUGGUCUGAGAGGAUGAUCAGCCACAUUGGGACUGAGACACGGCCCAAACUCCUACGGGAGGCAGCAGUGGGGAAUCUUGCGCAAUGGGCGAAAGCCUGACGCAGCCAUGCCGCGUGAAUGAUGAAGGUCUUAGGAUUGUAAAAUUCUUUCACCGGGGACGAUAAUGACGGUACCCGGAGAAGAAGCCACGGCUAACUUCGU
rnacentral:rRNA from 1 species